GACGAACGCUGGCGGCGUGCCUAAUACAUGCAAGUCGAGCGGAGUGGAUCCCUUCGGGGUGAAGCUUAGCGGCGGACGGGUGAGUAACGCUUGAGAAUCUGCCUAUUAGUGGGGGACAACCCGGGGAAACUCGGGCUAAUACCGCAUACGCACUACGGUGGAAAGCCGGGGACCGCAAGGCCUGGCGCUAAUAGAUGAGCUCAAGUCGGAUUAGCUAGUUGGUAGGGUAACGGCCUACCAAGGCGACAAUCCGUAGCUGGUCUGAGAGGACGACCAGCCACACCGGAACUGAGACACGGUCCGGACUCCUACGGGAGGCAGCAGUGGGGAAUAUUGGACAAUGGGCGAAAGCCUGAUCCAGCGACGCCGCGUGGGUGAAGAAGGCCUGCGGGUUGUAAAGCCCUUUCGGUGGGGAAGAAAUGCUUCGAGCUAAUACCUCGGGGCUUUGACGUAACCCACAGAAGAAGCACCGGCUAACUCUGUGCCAGCAGCCGCAGUAAUAC
rnacentral:rRNA from 1 species